AUACGUAGGUGGCGAGCGUUGUCCGGAAUUACUGGGCGUAAAGGAUGCGUAGGUGGAUAUUUAAGUGGGAUGUGAAAUCCCCGGGCUCAACCCGGGAACUGCAUUCCAAACUGGGUAUCUCGAGUGCAGGAGAGGAAAGCGGAAUUCCUAGUGUAGCGGUGAAAUGCGUAGAUAUUAGGAGGAACACCAGUGGCGAAGGCGGCUUUUUGGCCUGAAACUGACACUGAGUGAUGAAAGCGUGGGUAGCAAACAGGAUUAGAUACCCUGGUAGUCCACGCCGUAAACGAUGGGUGCUAGGUUUAGGAGGUAUCGACCCCUUCUGUGCCGUCGUUAACACAAUAAGUACCCCGCCUGGGGAGUACGGUCGCAAGACUAAAACUCAAAGGAAUUGACGGGG
rnacentral:rRNA from 1 species